AAUAUUGCACAAUGGAGGGAACUCUGAUGCAGCGACGCAGCGUGAGUGAAGAAGGUCUUCGGAUCGUAAAACUCUGUCCUUGGUUACGAAAAAAAUGACGGUAGCCAAGCAGGAAGCCCCGGCUAACUACGUGCCAGCAGCCGCGGUAAUACGUAGGGGGCGAGCGUUGUCCGGAUUUACUGGGCGUAAAGGGUGAGUAGGCGGUUAUAUAUGUCAGGUGUAAAAAGCUAUGACUUAACCAUAGUAAGCACUUGAAACUGUAUGACUUGAGUGCAGGAGAGGUAAGCGGAAUUCCUAGUGUAGCGGUGAAAUGCGUAGAUAUUAGGAGGAACACCGGUGGCGAAGGCGGCUUACUGGACUGUAACUGACGCUGAGUCACGAAAGCGUGGGUAGCAAA
rnacentral:rRNA from 1 species